rnacentral:rRNA from 1 species
GAUGAACGCUGGCGGCGUGCCUAAUACAUGCAAGUCGAGCGAACAGACGAGGAGCUUGCUCCUCUGACGUUAGCGGCGGACGGGUGAGUAACACGUGGAUAACCUACCUAUAAGACUGGGAUAACUUCGGGAAACCGGAGCUAAUACCGGAUAACAUGUUGAACCGCAUGGUUCAACAGUGAAAGACGGUUUUGCUGUCACUUAUAGAUGGAUCCGCGUCGCAUUAGCUAGUUGCUAAGGUAACGGCUUACCAAGGCAACGAUGCGUAGCCGACCUGAGAGGGUGAUCGGCCACACUGGAACUGAGACACGGUCCAGACUCCUACGGGAGGCAGCAGUAGGGAAUCUUCCGCAAUGGGCGAAAGCCUGACGGAGCAACGCCGCGUGAGUGAAGAAGGUCUUCGGAUCGUAAAACUCUGUUAUUAGGGAAGAACAAAUGUGUAAGUAACUAUGCACGUCUUGACGGUACCUAAUCAGAAAGCCACGGCUAACUACGUG